GCUCGCGUGCUGGGGUGGGGCCUCCGUUCGCUGGGUCCCGCCGCCAGGUCCCCGACAUGCUAGAGCUGACAGCUCCUGGCCCCCGCGGCUCCCUCAGCUGGCGCCGGAGCUCCGCGCCCCGGCUGCCUCCGGGUCAAAAAUGAUGAUUCCACCCGGAGAGUGCACAUAUGCCGGCAGGAAGAGAAGGAAACCCAUUCAGAAGCGGAGGCCUAUCAUGGGAGCUGAGAAAUCAAACCCUUCCAAGAGGCACAGGGACCGUCUCAACACAGAACUGGACCACCUGGCCAGCCUGCUGCCAUUCCCACCUGACAUCAUCUCCAAGCUGGACAAGCUUUCCGUUCUGCGUCUCAGCGUUAGUUACCUCAGAGUGAAGAGCUUCUUUCAAGUCUUGCAGGAAACGCGUGCAUGGCCAGCCCAGGCCCUCUCACCCAAAGACCAUCCAUAUGGAGGGUUCCCUGUGCAGGAAGGACGGCUGCUGCUGGAGUCUCUCAAUGGCUUUGCUCUGGUGGUGAGUGCAGAAGGGAUGAUCUUUUAUGCUUCAGCAACGAUUGUGGACUAUCUGGGCUUCCACCAGACAGAUGUAAUGCACCAAAACAUUUAUGACUACAUCCAUGUGGAUGACCGUCAGGACUUCUGCCGGCAACUGCACUGGGCCAUGGACCCUCCACAGGCAGUGUUUGGACACCCCCCACAUGCUGAGGCAGAUAACAGCAUCCUGGGGAAGCUUCUCAGGGCCCAGGAAGAGGGUAAGGGCUCACCCUCGGAGUACUCGGCCUUUCUGACACGCUGCUUCAUCUGCCGUGUACGUUGCUUGCUGGACAGCACCUCUGGAUUUCUGAUGAUGCAGUUCCAAGGAAAAUUAAAAUUCCUGUUUGGACAGAAGAAGAAGGCACCAUCAGGAACAGCCCUGCCCCCUCAGCUCUCACUGUUCUGCACUGUGGUGCCAGUCCUGCCUUCCAUGGCUGAGAUGAAAAUGAAAAGUGCAUUAUUGAGAGCAAAACACAGGGCAGACAUUGUCGCCAGGACGGACUCCAGGGCAAAAGCUGUUACAAGUCUUUGUGAAGCAGAAUUUCAUCCCAAACCCAGUUACUUAGCAGGAAGGAGCAAUGGAGAAAACAGCAUUUCGGUGUUCAGGGCACAGAUGGAUAGAGGUCACUGGGCUCGGGCUCUAGCCAGGCCCUCAUGCUUGUGCCUCAGAAGUGGUCCUGAUCUCUUCUUGGACCCCAAGGGGGCUUCAGGGGACAGAGAAGAAGAGGAUCAAGAGCCCAUUCUAAGGGGAUCCCCUGGAGCCAGGGGACAAAGGGAAACACACCGGUACAAUCGCUGUUCAGACACACCAGCACCUUCGAGGCACCUGAACUGGAGCACAGAACAGCACAGUCAGGAGGGCUCUACCAAAUUAAGUCGGCAGCCCAGCAAGACUGAACCAUCUGCAUGCCCUGUGUCCCAUGGUUCUUCUCUUCCCUACCCCAGUACCCAGGACAUGUUCAGUGCAAGUGGCAUGGCUUCUUUCAGAGAUUCACCAGACCAUUCUGCUGGUGCCUACUGCAGCCAGAUGAACAGACCUUUGCAGGACAUCCACCAGAGCCAGGGGCAUCCUCCCCCAUGUCAUGUCCCUCAGGGCAGCCUGGGGACCAGGUUCCCUCUGCCCAGAAUGCAGCGCUUCACAGCCAGGGAUUUCUCCACAGAGGAUGCAAAGUUAUCCAGUCUACCAGUAACCAUAGGCACCCCAUGUAAUCUAGCAUUGUCACUGGAAGUGCCGAUCAAGAUGGAAAAUGAAUCUGGGCCCCAGGACAUAGUAGAUGGCUGUACCCCUCGCCGGGCGUGGCUGGGAGCCAGCGACAUGGCCAGGAAACAUCUGGUCAGUUUCCCUACCAGGAUGCAUCUGAAAACAGAGCCAGACUGUAGACAGCAGGUCUUCACCCCACACCCUGGGCAUGGUGUGCUGGAGGCGAGUCAACACAGCAGGGCCACUGUUGGAACUCACAGGGAGCUGGGCCCUCUCUACCCUGCACAUUGUGCCUGCUUGGAACCAGAACCUUCCCAUCACCUCUGCAUGUGGGGCCACAGUGACAGCCAGUACUCCACUCUGAGCUGUGACUGUAGAGCUUCUGGUAUGGCCCCUGUUGUUAAGCGUGAGCCCUUGGACUCACCUCCAUGGGCUACUCCUGGCCAGGUAUCUGUGCCCAGGAUGUUUCCCAAGAGUGCCUCUGUGGCAUUGAUCCCACCCAGAGCCUCUGAAGGAGGUUUUCUACCUUAAAGCUGCUCCUGUGCUAAUCUUCAGUCCCUGGAUGAUGGGCUGUGAUCGAAGAUUCUUCUAGUGACAUCUUCUGCAGAGCUGCAUGAGGCUGAGAUUCCCUGCAUGUAGCUGAGCAGUAGAGCAUCCUGAAUCAUAUAGAGUAUUUAAGGAUUCUCACAUGUAAACCUAAGUCUGUUCAAGAUCACAACAUUUCUCUUUGAGCCGUUAAAAUGUUUAAGGAAGUUGCCAGGUGUGGUGGUGCACACCUUUAAUCCCAGCACUCAGGAGGCAAAGGCAGACAGAGCUCUGUGAGUUCAAGGCUAGCCUGGUCUACAUAGCAAGUUCCAGGUUAGGGGGCUACAGGGAGAUCCUGUCUCAAAAAGACUAAAAAAUGUUUAAGGAAGUUAUCCCAUACUGGACAAGCCUCAGCUGACAGUCAAGAGAUACUCAGUAUAAUGCUACUACUACCUUUUGUCUAUAAAGCAGCAGGGGUCCUGUGGUUUUGAGUCAGAAUCUGAGGCCACACUUGGCAUAGGGGUGAUCAGUGAAAAUCUUGUCUCUUCUGGUGUUUUCUGUGGGCCUCUGAGGAUGGCAGCGGUGUCACUGGGCAUAUCACAUGGUGGAGGUUAUAGUGUCCAGACCAGGAGCACAGUGAAAUACAACACAGAGAAAAAGAUGAAAUUAUACUGUUAGGGAGGCAUUGUUCCUUUUUCUUGUCUAUAGAGAUUUCAGUUACAGGCUCCAGUUGCCAGCUUGGGAAGACUUAGAGACAAGUUGCAGCAAGUAUUUGUUUUUUAUUGUGAAGGUAAUCCACUCUGCUUAUAGGAAAUUUGGAUACAAAGCAUAAAGCAAAAAGGGUCACCACAAACCAACUGCAAAAUUAUUUAUGGCUGGUAGUGCAGUUGAUUGUUACAGAAAGGGGCUCAUACCAGAGAGCCUGCUCCGUUACUAGCACAGGGUCAACUGAACAGGAGGAAGCCAGGCAGCAAGGAGCUAGGAGCCCACCGCUGCUCUGCUGGUGUGGUACAGAUAGUCUUCCUCAGGGUUGGCCAUCUACCUCUGAUGUCACUUCCCCUGAGGUCUUGGGAAUGUCAGGACCCUACUGGAAAGAACCCAUGACUGUUCCUACCUACCGAGUAUUCUCUCCAGUAAAGACUUUCUCUCCUUCACUUGUGUUCCAGGAUGUCACUGCUCAGCCACUGGCUUAGGGCAGAAGCUAUUUGGUAAACACCUAUCACCUUGUCAGAAUCAGGUUGGGUGGGGAGGGAUUGGAUCUUUUUCCCAGACUCUAAGUUGUCUGGCUCUUAGACAGAGAUAGGGAUAUCUCUAAGACAGGGAUAGGCCUGAAGAUCUCCCAGAACUGAGAACAUUCACUGUAUGAGAUCAGAGACAAGAGUGAUACUUGUGGCGAGACAAGAGCUGUCACAGAUAUAAUGUGUGUGCAUUCCUCCACUCCAGGAGCUUCCCCAUUACCUGAAGCCGGAAGAUAGGAUAGUGGCCCAGCCCUAACAUCUGUGCUCAGCCAUCUGCUGCCUUCCUCUCUCCCAGUUGUUCCAGCCCUACUUUACUUACUUCUACCAAGCACAGCUCACCCUGUUCUGUGGGUGUUUAUGAAUUUAGUCUUAAGGGAGUGGAAUUUGAGUCUCUUUAGCACUUCCAGUUCUAACCAUGACCCCAUUGCCUGAUAGUAGAGCAUGCUCAAACCACUCAAGCAUCUGCCAUUCUUGUAGUCCCUCCUUCAACUAUGUCCAUCCUUAGUCAACCUCCGUAUCACCUGAACUUUCUACAGAGUGAUACCUUCCUACCUACAUUGGGGGCAGAAAGCACAGCAGACAGCAUGGAAAAUAUGUCCCGAGUAUCCUGGAGCUAGUGAUUGAAACCUUUAAAAAGUGCCCAAGAAGAUAGGAUUUAAACAUAUCAUUGAGCGUGGUGGUACACACCCCAGCACUUGAGAGACUAAGGCAGGAGGAUCAGGAGUUGAAGCCCAGCCCAGGCUACAUGAUACCCUGUCUCAAAAAAUAAAACAAAAAAUUAAAAUAAGUAUCACAUAUGUUUACCAAUUGUAGCCAGAUCCUCAGUACUUUGAUAGGUAAACAAAAAAGAGCUUUGGACCUCCUGAAGCCCAGACAUCUCCUGCUCAGGUCCUCCCAACCAUUAAGAUGUAUCUUAUCUGCACCCUUGACUGGAUGAUUAACUAAAUGUGGGGUGUGGGGCAGCUUGACAAGGACAUAGGCCUUUCUGAAGGCCAGGCUUUGUGCAUUCUACAUCUGGAUGUUAAUUCUGAAGAUUUCAUAUUUUGGGAACACUACAUUACAUGGUGGGCUCAGAUACACAGAGGUUGCUCCUGCUUUAGGACACUACCAACCAUGCUAACUACAGGCUCAAAAUUUUCUGUGCUAUCUAGUUUUUACCU